UUUGUAAAUAUCACGCCUACUUUGGUUUUUACGAGCAUUUUCGCAAACCUCUACAAAUUCGCCGAUUCGGCCCGGUAUUCUUCGCCUAGGUACGCUUCUUUCGCUCGGUGCUAAAAGGGUUAAAA